UCAUUCUCAAUAGUCCAAUUUGAUUCUGUUAAUAUGUUAAUAUACAUCAUAUUGGACUUUUUCUCAAAUAUGUUAAAUCUUUUCAUUUUUGUGCCAUUUCAUAAAUGUACUUUGUAUUUGGCAUGGAGUCAAUGAUGUACUGCACCUGCUGUGCCCACAGAUCCCUUGGGGAACCCCUUAUACUUAGGUCACUUUGACUUUCGUGUCUGGACCCCACAGUCCUCAUCACAGUCAAGCGGGCAGAGACUGGGACUAAGCCAGGAACUGCUGUCCAGCAACAGCUCCCUGCAGGUCACCACCACAGUUGGGGGUCAGCCUCCACGGGACUGGAGGAGCUGACUCAUUCUGAUGCCUCAGUGUGAGUCCUAAAAGUAAGUGCCAGACGCCCACACACAGGUGUCUGCAUAUGCACAGAAAGUUCUAGAAGAACCCAGGAGGCAGUGUGAGCCUGAGAAGCAAAACCACAAAGAGAACAGAAGGAAACUCACGCACAAUGGUGGGAGAAGCAGAGCCAGUGCGCACAGAGCAGUAAAGGGCAGAACCAGGAGCCGACAGGAGUCUCGAAGCCUCAGGCGGGGCGCCAGGGAGGUCUGCAGCUGACAGUGAGGGGAUCAGUGCCGCCCAGGUCCUCUAUGGGAUUCCUGAAUUGUUGUGGAGACUGGAGCAGCUGGGAUCCCUCGCUCUCAUGUUUUCAGUUCUCUGUGGGGCUUGAAGGUGUGGCUGCCGUGUGGAAAUGGACUGAGGUAUUUUGGAUCCUUGAUCAAGUGAAGGUCAUUGACUAACAACAUCAACAAUGAAAUGAAUCUGAGAAAACAGGAAAUUGAGAGCAAGAGAAAAAAAAGUUAAUUAUACUGAUUUUGUAUAAGACCCCUUUGAACACAUUUUUAAAAAAUCAAAUAGAAGAUGCCCAGGUCCACUGUGCCUUGUGGAUAUUUGUCUCGUAUAGCCUAGAGAUCUACGCAUUCAUGUGGGAAUUGAAAAGGACCCACAUUUUACUAGAAGCAUCAUUCAUUUUUGCCUCAAAACAAACAAUGCCCACAUGUCAGAAGAACUUUCACAAUUCACAGGAACAGUGACCUAAUUAACCAACCAUAAAAUUGCCAAAUCCCUACUUCUCAUUGUUUAAUAUGCUUAGAAAACCCAUUCAAAUUGUGAAUUAUCAAGUGAGCUUACACUGAUAAAUAGAUCCAAUAUUUAGGAAUUUUUAAAUCUUCCAUUCCUUUUUUUUUUUUUUGGUCUUUUUAAAAAUAGACCAUUAGAAUAUGUCCUCCAGGUUUUAGAGAUGGGGGAGACAUAGAGAUGAUGGGGGAGACAUAGAGAUGGGGGAGACAUAGAGAUGAUGGGGGAGACAUGCUUCCCUUUAUUUCUCAGUAACUCAGCCAAAAACAAUCUGGAGAGAAUGCAAAGACAGCUACUGGAAACUCUGAAAAGUAGACGUGAGCCCAUCAGGGAAGAGCUAGAGAAUCUGAAAUCUACUCGAAAAAGUGAGUUUGAUACUUAGUAGGUCUUGUGUUCCUAUCCUAACUCGACACAGCCUGAAACUUGGAAGUGAGCAUGAUGGAGUGGAUACAGUGAGAUGCAAGAAAUCCUCCAGUUUGGGCUGGAAGGGAAAAAAGAGACCCCUAAAACUCAGAGACAGUGGAAGAAAUUCCUGGUGUUUUUUUCUUCUCUUUUUCUCUGUUCUUCCACAUAGCAAUUUAGUAUUGACUACAGCAUCUCUGUUACAAUGAUAGCACCGAAAUGUUGUAACCAUAUGGCCUGCAAAGCCAAAAAUAUUUAUCUGACCAUCUACAGGAAAAGUUUGCUGAUCUGGAUGAAAUAUUCUGAUAUUAAAUAUUCCAUUUUGUGAGUAUACCACAAAUUACCUUAAAAAUCUACCUCUAGUUGGCUAUUAGGCUUUUUGUUUGUUUUGUCUGUUUUCUGGCAUUAUAAAUUGUGCUGCUAUAAGCUGAUUUGUGUGUGUCUCUGGAUGGAUAUGAACAGUUUCCUAAGAUUGUGUACCCUGAAAAAUGCCAAGUCAUAGGGUAUGGCUGUAUUGCAGCUUUUCCAAUUUUUAAUUUAUCUUUUCACAUUUUCUACAGUAACUUUUGAUAAAUAAAAGUUCCCUCCAUACUCAAGUGAGCACAUUCCUGUAACAGAUUUCCUGUCGGUUCUCUUUCUCAGGAGAACCCUGACUAAUAUCUAUUUAUAUUCUCAUUUGUCACCAAAAAUAAACAAGGCUUUGGUGUUCUGAAUGGAAUUGUUUUGAAUUUUAGAAUAAUUUGGGGAAAAUGGCAUCAUUAAAUAUUGAUUGUUCUCAUUCAUAAAUAUGUGAUAUGUCUCCAAUUAUAGCUCUUCUUUUAUGCCUUUAACAAGUUUCUUUUUAUAAUUCAGUGAAUAUGGAGCCUGCAUAGCUUUUGGAAGGUUUUGUAGUUUUACUCUGUCUACUAAAAAGCAUAAAAAAAUUUGCAAGCCUCAAUGCAAUUAGAAAUUAAGAAUUAAGCUACUAAUGGUGCAACUCUGUAAGCACAAGGCAUAAAAAACAAGUGUUAUGGCCAAGCCACACAGUGAAAGAGGUAUGAAUCACUGCAAACACUGGUUGAAGGGAAGCUGUCCUCCAAACAGAAGCAUCCAUUUUUGUACUUUUUAAAAAUUUUUAUUUAUUUAUUUUUUGAGAUGUAGUCUCGCUCCGUUGCCCAGGCUGGAGUGCAAUCUCAGCUCACUGCAACCUCCACCUCCCAGGUUCAUGCCAUUCUCCUGCUUCAGCCUCCCGAGUAGCUGGGACUACAAGUGCCCGCCACUAAGCCCAGCUAAUUUUUUGUAUUUUUAGUAGAGACAGGGUUUCACCGUGUUAGCCAGGAUGGUCUCGAUCUCUGGACCUCGUGAUCCACCUGCCUCAGCCUCCCAAAGUGCUGGGAUUACAGGCAUGAGCCACCAUGCCCUGGCCCCAUUUUUGUACUUUUAAGGGAGUGAGAAAUAAACUACUUUUGCUUUUAAGCCGUUAUAAAAUUUGGCAUGAAUUUGCUAAGCAACUCAACAUUAAUCUACUGUCCUUGAAUUAAUUAUAAAAGGUGCAGACAGUCUUGAAUUAAAAUUGGGAAAAGUUCUAAUACUUUUUUUUUGGUAGAACAUUUUUACCAAUUUAAAAAAGUGAUCAUUAUAGAUUAACUUGAAAUCACAAUGCAGAAUUGUGUUAUGCCAUAGAUCACUCAAUAAUAUGCUUCUCUGCCAAUCCUAGUAGACUUCACACCUUGUGCUAUAUUAUUAGUCUUCCUUUUAUGAGGCAGACAGUACCCAUUUCAUAAAAUAUGAAGACUAUAGCUUCGGGCCGGAGGAUUUGAAUUUUCAUACUAGCGGUUAUAAUAUGUGAUAUCAUGAGCUUGUUUUUAUUGUCCUAGGAGGCUGAUAUUCCUAAAUCUAUUCAUAAGGAUGGCAUAUCUACCCAGUGGGCCUGCUGGGACUCCAGUUACCCGAUGCACAUACAUUGCUUGGUGGUCAGUAAAUGUUAUUUUGCUUUCUUUAUUCCUUUGUGGAAAAAUUUCAGGUAGAGAAGAAACCUGAAAUAAUUUGAAGAACUUUAAAAUUUUUUUCACCCACUAAUUUAUAUUCUCAUUAGCAAAAAGAACCGAAUAUUGGUAGCUCUAUACUUUAUUAUAAUAAAGAUGUGGAACUUCUUGAUUACUCUUUCCUUCUUCUACGUUGACUCAUUCUAUCACUAUUAAUUCACUCAGGAGAUGCUGAUUGAGCAGCUCCUUUGUAUAGAUGUUAAUAGCAUGGUUCUCGCCAUAGGUCACAGAGGUUGGUUUGCCGAGCAACUCUGAGAACCCGUUUUUAAGUUCCCUGACUCUCCUAUUCACUGGAAUGGAAUGCCUUGCUGUCUGGGCCCUCCUUGCUUCACCUUCCAAUGAACUGAAAUCAUCACACUGAUCCUAUUGUAGCGGAGAGUGGUGUGUUAAGACUGGGGGUUAUGGUUAUGGUUUUGAGACCAGCCUCAGCUCUGUCGCUUUCUUAUCUCUUCAGAUGCAGCAGAUAGUUACCUCUAACUUUUAGUUUGCCUCAGACAUUAAGAAUAAAAUCAUAUUCAGCAUAAUUUAGGUGUCAUUCUCCAUAUUCCACUGGUGCUAACAAACAUUUUUAUAUUGUUCCCAUGUGUCAACAAUAGUAAUCUGUGGCUCAUUAUAAGUGACAGCAAAUGUCAACAAGCCUGCCUCCUGGAGAUUUGUUUGUAAAGAUUCCUUAUCAGUUGUUGUUAUUUAUACCCCUGGCUUCUAUAGUUAUUGAUUAUUCUAUAUAUUUUCCUCCUUCAAGUGAAUGUACAAAGAGACUAAGAAAACCUCAGUCAAACUUGGAAAUUUCCUUUGUAAUAUUCUUUUUAAAGUUAGUUAUGGUAAGUUCCUUAUUAUCUAUCUGUUAAGAAUUGGGAUGCUGAGCUUGGUUUGAUUUUCUGGUUAACAAGAAAUUAGCCAAUCAUCAAGAAUAUAAAAGGAAACACUGGUUAGCAAAGAAUUAGAAUUACAAAAGCAAUGAAUUUAUACCUAAGCCCUUGAAGGUUACACUGGUUUUGAUUCAUAAGGUGCAUGCUUCUGGUGUCCAAGUGCAAUAUUCCAAACAUCAAUUAUCACUGUACAUUGGUUUAUUAAAUAUUUUCUGAUUGAUUUGCUUUAUCUAGAUUCUACAUAAUGCUUUGUACUAAACUAUGAAUACUUCGCAUUUAUGGAAAAAUGUCCAGCUUGAGAUCACAGAGCAAUUGAAGAUUAUCUUCCAGAGACUUAUUUUUCUCCUUAAACUUUUGUUUCCUUAAUUUGGGAAACAAAGCUAGUCACUUUCUGUCACAUUUCUUUUCUUUUCUUUUUUUUUUUUUUUUGAUACCGUGUCUUGCUCUGUUGCCCAGGCUGGAGUGCAGUGGUGCAAUCUUGGCUCACUGCAACCUCCGCCUCCCAGGUUCAAGCAAUUCUCCUGCCUCAGCCUCCUGAGUAGCUGGGACUACAGGUGUCCACCACCACACCCGGCUAAUUUUUAUACAUUUAGUACAGACGGGGUUUCACCAUAUUGGCCAGGCUGGUCUCAAACUCCUAACCUUGUGAUCCGCCCGCCUUGGCCUCCCAAAGUGCUGGGAUUACAGGCGUGAGCCACCGCACCUGGCCUGUCACAAAAUUUCUAUCUCAUCUUAUUCUAUCCCAUGUCAUCCACUGCCGUUGUACCACCAAACUCUACAUUGUCCUCUCUCAGAAUGUCCUCCUGUUCCUUGGAGAUAGCACUGUACUGCUGUUACCAUAGAUGCAACCCUCAGGCUUCAUGCCUGCAUGGCUUCUGCACCUGGGUACGUCCUGGAGAUCUUUGCAGCCACCUAAACGGACACGCUACCAUCUGUUCCAGCACUCUGUACUUGGUUCUUAUCUUGCUGGGCAUGUGUUAGUCUGUGUUUCAUCUGUUUAUAUGUGUGUCGCUUCUAGUAAACUCUGAGCUCCUCAGCUUAAAAGUCUUAUUUUGUGCAAUUUCUUUUAAUCACCAGUAUUUGAUACAUCACUUGGACACUUAAAGAAUAAAUGAAAUAAAUGAAGCAUUUCUUCCAGUGUACAAAACAACUGAAUAAAUGAAUCAAUUAAUUAUAAACUAACAAAUAGAAGUGCCAAGGAAGUGGUUAAAUGAUUUGCUCCUGGUUAACACAGAGCUUGGGAUGGCCACCAACUCUCACCUCAUCAUUCUAUCUACUGACUAGUUGGCCUUGAAUUUGUUAAUUUAAAAAAAUUUGAAGUUUCAAUGUUCUUGCAGCAAACGCUAACAUACAUACUUAAUGAUUAAAGGCAAGACCUCAAGGGCAGAUUGGAAAACUAAGAACAAUGCUAAAAAAAAAAAAGAAAAUGACUUGCAGGGUUUUUACUAAUUUCCAAAAUUAAGUAACAAAUCACUGACUUGAAAUAUUUUUCACAGCAGCAGUGAUAUCAUCUAGGUAUGGUUUAAAACACACAUCUCAAUUUUUCCUUUCCUUUAGCUGAAAUAAUAAAUAAGAUAGAUUUUGCUAUGAUUAGGAAGGAAAGAUAUCAGUGCCUAGAUUAUCCCAUAUAAAGGAGUUCACUCACUUUUAAGAUGCAAUCUAUUUUUGCCUUAAAUGUCUUCUGCAAACAGCCUUGCCACUUCAGUGCUUGCGAGUUGAUGUACGUGUCAAGAGAACUGAGCCAGGUCCCGGCUGCGCCGCAAAUCAUUCACGUGGUGCAGCUGGACACAUGUUCUGUUAGUCAAAUAAGCAGAUUAGAUUCAAUGACUAUGAAACUCUCUUCCAGGUCAAACAGCCUGUUAUUUGUGCAUUCCAGUAUGAUCGCUGCCAUUUAUUUAAAGUAUUUCUACCUAUACGGAUAUUAGGUACUAGCGACUCAAGUACACUUUAGAAUUAAUUGUUUAAAAGAGCAAAUAAACCUCUCACCGCAAUGGCAAUUAAAGACACCCAGUCCUGCCGUGUGCUUUCUCCAUUUGCUUCUAGUGGCAGUUUCGUGUGAAUUUUUGGUGAUGAUGCUCCACGGAACAUCUGCAGAUGUGCUGUCAAUUUGGACAGGGUUCUAAAGUCCUCUCAGCUGCCCCAGUGGAACUAGGGUACCUGUGUCUGACCAUGUUGACCCUCGGGAGGGACAGCACUCGUCUGAUUGAAUGCGCUUAUUAAGUUGCCCAACAGGCAGCCACUAAGAAAAGUUGACACUUAAAACCACUAUGCCAUGGUUGUGGUGGAGAGAGGAAUCUAAGAGACUCGAGGUGCAUGACACCUCCAGUCCCUUCAGCCCCAACCCAUAGAAUCUAUGCAGCCAGUAAAUGUGUCUCAGAUGAGUGCCGGGUGCAGAGCACCACACUGGGUUCAGAGGUACAGCAGUGAGAAGGAAAGACAGUCUCUUUUCUCGUGGCGGUGGGAAAGAGAGACGGUAUCCAAUAUGCCCUGUGAUAGCAGCCAGGACGGGCAAUCAUCGAGAAAGGAAGCUAAGCAGUCAGAGGUGCUCAGGUUGAGUGACAUUCAAGCAGAGACCCGAAGACAACGAGGGAAAGAACCACGCCAAUGUGGAUAUUGGAGAGGUGGUUGUGGGGGUCACCUGGGCCAGGCACUCCCCAAAGAUCAAGUAGGAGGAAGGCUGCUGGGUUGGGAAAUAUGGAGGUCAUUGUUUGCCGCGACAAGGCCAGUUUUGGUGGACUGGUGGGGCUAACCCACAUGGAGUGGUUCAAGGGAGGACAGGAGGAGGAGACGUUGAGAGUGGGGAGUGCAGACUGGGGAAGAAUUCUGCUCCUGGGCCACCAAGCACUGCUACAUACCCUGAGCAGCUGGCACAGCUGAACCAGAACCAGCACCCUCAGCAGAAGCAGCCAGAGGAUCAGCACCAAGGACACAGGGAGAAUGAGGUGGCAAGACAGGCACAGACCCACCAGUGCCUGCCUUGAGGGCAGUGAAAGACCAGCUCCCCCAGCCACAUGAUGUGUGUCUGCAGAGGCUUUAGAUAACCAUGUAUAUAGAGCACCCUUGACAUAAGUGGUUCCAUCAUCUUACAGUUCAUAGGACACACUGCAACGGAGAGUUUGCCUAAUAAAGAUUGCAUCCAACCAGAUAAGGAUAUAAACACACUCUUCCACUAUCGGCCCUCCCCAGAGGACUCUGGCCAAAAAAAGAGCAGGACUUCAGCUGUUCAAAACGGUCACGUUAAUUGACAUCGUCUUGCUGUCACUUGUGAUAAGCACCCAACAUCUGCCCACAUCGAAGACUCUUCCUUGCAAGACGAAUUGCUGGGGCCAGACGGGGAGAUUCUUUUAAUCUUUUUGUCACUCUCCCUGUACUGCCUUGUUAACCCUUUUUCCUAUCUUUUCUUAACGCUAAAUGUGACUUUGUUUGUUGUGGAAUGUUUAAUCUGUAACGUUUAUAUAUUGAUUAAGUAUACUAUUAUGUAUGGUUUGCAAUAUUGACUGACUUAUGGAGUGGCUUGAACCUGUGUCCCCACGGCUCUGACUACCGAGUGAAUGGGAAGUACUAAGGAGAACUGUCUGCUUGGGAACUCCAUGAAGUUCGUGGCUUUUGUGAUUGAAAUAGCAUCAAUAAAAGGUUGACACUGUGGAACAACACAAGCCUGCAUGGACCUGGUUAUCUCUGACCUCGCACCACUCACGAGACCAUACCUGAGCCCUUCUCCACUUUGGCAGAACAGUUGCGUGGCCUCUCUUCAUAUAAUACCUCUCCGUACACCGUACACCACAGGUCAAAGAAAGGAUAUAUGCUCCCUGUGAAGACUAGUGGAACUGUCCCUCCUGGUCCUCCUACAGACUUCCUCUGGCCUAAUGGGUGCACCAUUGCAUUAUAUCUGCCAUCUAUAUACACAUAUACCUUUCAACCCUGCACUCUCUGAGAUGACUGGACUCAUGCCUAAAUAACUGAUGCUGUCCCUAGUGUAAGGUAAGCACUCAAUAGUUUCUCAGGAAAUGAAUAUAAUAUUUUGGCUGUUUAGAGGCUUUCCUUCACUUCGUUUUCUGUGUCCUCUUAUUUAAAAAGAAGUGCUCACUAGAGGUUACCUGAAGACAUAUCUGAUCCUUGAAACCUGCAGUAGUCUAACACAGAGGCCAAGAUCACAGGUCUUCAUAAAAGUAAUACUUUCCUCAUGACAAUGAAGUGCCACGGGGCCAACUCAAAAAUUGAGACUGAGCCUGGGAGGCCAUGUGGGCUCUCGGCUUUGUGCAGGCAGGAAUUCGACAGCCAGCCAACAGAGUGAAGGGAAAGCAAGUUUACUAAGAAAGUAAAGGAAUAACAGGGUGGCUAUGCCAUAGGCAGAGCAGCCCUGAGUGCUGCUGGUUGGCUUUUUCUAUGGUUAUUUCUUGAUUAUAUGCUAAACAAGGGGUGGAUUAUUCAUGAGUUUUGGGGGAAUGGGAGGACAGUUAUGGGAACUAAUGUUUCCUCCCCCUUUCAGACUAUAUAGGGUAAUUCUUGAUGUUGCCAUGGCAUUUGUAAAUUGCCAUGGCAUUGGUAGGAGUUUCUUUGAGCAAGUUAAUGUAUUAUAAUUAGCAUAUAAUGAGCAGUGAGGACAACCAGAGGUUGCUUUUGUGGCCAUCUUGGUUUUGGUGGGUUUUGGCUGGCUUCUUUACUGCAUCCUGUUUUAUCAGGUUUUUUUUGUUUUUUUGGUUUGUUUGUUUCUUGAGCUGGGUCUUGUAAAACAGUCCUGCCAACUUCCUAUCUCAGAAUCACAUGUCUCUCAUUGUCCUAGCUCAGGGUGAUAGCACGGGAGGCAUGCCAGGUUACUUGUCACCCAAUAUUCAUUCUCCUGUUCUGAGUCAGAAAUGAAUGAGGGGCUUGGCUGUGAUGUUCUCCUCUGGACAGAGCCCUCACUUCCCAGCUGACUUGAGGCUGGUGUGGCCUUGUGUCCAGGUAUGUGGCCAACAGAGAAGUAAGUAGAAAUCUUACCAAUUCUUCCAGGAAGUCUUCUCAAAGAGAGACUGGACGACCUUCUCUCUUUCUCUCUCCAUCCUGCUGCUUGGGAAAGGGAUGUGACAUCUGGAGUCCUGGCAGCCACCUUGGAGCACAAGAUUAAGAGCCCCAGCUAAGGCAGGCAGAGUGGCUGGAGGAAGGGAGCAAGGGCCCCUGGGAAACUUACUGCUUACCCUGGGCUUCUUUAAAGUGAAAAAAAAAAAAAAAAAAAAGAAAUUCCACUUCCUAUCAGCUCUUUUAUUCUGGAUGUCUCAGCCAAACACACCCAAACCCAAUACUGACAUAAGUUAUUUGUCAGUAUUGACAAAUAUUUGUAAAGUCUUCACUUUUGAAAUUAAAUAUAUUCACCGUGCUGCGUAAAGUAUAAUAUGAAUGCUUUUUUAAAAGUUAUUUGUUUACUGGGAUUAUAUUUGCCUGUGUGAGCCAAAAGAAGCAUUUCUGCCUAUUACCGUGGGAGUUUUCAGAGCAUGGGUCUAGGUGGCGAUAUCCCCACUGAAUCAAAAGGCAGACUCAGAAGUGGUUUUACAAAGAGAAAUAUGAACACUUUUCUCAUUGUGAGAUAACCAUUACAUCUCAGUUUAAAGAUCCGAAGCUAAUUUUGGAAAUUAUUUUUAAGGCACAGAGGAAAAACAUCAUGUGAGCUCACAGGUCUGACACAGUUGUGAACAGCUUGUUUUCCUAUAGAAAUGCUGUGGUGGCUGCCCGGGCUGGGGCAUUUGCAUUUCAACCAAAUGUUCUUUCAAAGUCAGAGCCAGAGCAGCUAGAAGCUUCCUUAAAACCAGGUGAACCCUAAAAGUAGAAAUAGGAAAAACAGCGGCCUCCACUGUGUCCUUUCACAUCUCAGCCUCUGAACUUCGGCCUGAGACACUGGAAAGCUGCACCCUUCCUCUGUCUCCUCAAAUCCUGCAAGUCCCAAGGCACAUCACCUGACAUCAAAAGGCCAUCCUCAUUUCAGGUGGAUGUCCCAUUUGACUGAUAGCAGCUACUUGUGUUUCAGAAUAGGAUUUGCAUAAAAAUCACUUGGUAUCCUUGUGAGCAGGGAGUCUCCCAAGGCCUGACUCCACAUUCUGCAGCAUUAGGUGAGCACAUGACCCAAAAACCUACGUCAUUUAUUACUUCCCAGGCACACUGACUCAGAUGCUCCUUGGACCAUUCUCAGGAGUAUUGGUGUCGAUAUUACUGAUCUCAAAAUGAAACCAUCCCAGUUUCCCCAUGGAAAUGAUGUUUACCAGGUUUGGAUGGUUCUUUUGAAUAAACAAAUUGAUCCUCUGAUCUUAAAACUUGAAACUUACAUUUGUCUUAUCUGAGUUCCUUUCUUGGGCAAGGAACUGAAACUCACUAGAUGAACACAUCCAGGCUCUAAGACACCAGACCCCUCAUCCUUCAUGAUUGCUUCCUCAUGCCUCCCUAAUUUCUGUUUUUCUGCAUGUAGUUACAUUCCUGUGCACUAUAUUAAAAACCCCAAUGUUAGUCAGCUGGCGAGACAGGUUUGAGAAUUAUCUCUUGUCUUCUUGGUUGACACUACUCAAAUAGUGCUUUCUUCCUGGACAAUAUUUGUCAUCUCAGAGAUUGUCUUUCCAUGCAGUGAGCAAAGAGACCUGGACCUAACCCCUGGUGUUUUAGUGACAAAAAUUCAAAUCUUAAAAGGUGUUAUAUAUCAUACCCUCCACUCCUGUAUGUCUAUAUUUGAGCUCAAAAUUAAAUAAAUCUUCAUUUAACUGGGUUGGGAGUCCACACUUCCUUUCAUGCCCAAACUUUCGGUUGGCAUUGGGUGUACUGAAGGGAGAACCCACUGCUGAGCCUGGCUUCCCGGAGGUCAGCUCGCCCUCCAGGAAUUUGUAAUCUACUUGGGAAAUCAAAUGAUGGAAUACCAAGCACAAUUAUUAACUAUUCUUAAGCAAUUACCUAAAGGUUUGAAGUGUGCAUUGUGCAUUUAUGUAUUUGUAAGGUUCUACCACCUGGACCUUGCCAGAUUUUGAUGCAUUUUGGCAUGUUCUCGUACCUUGGAUCCUAAACAUUCUGGCUGUGGCUCUAUGACUCCUUUCUCUUCUUGGUUUUGAAUGUGGCUCUCCUAGCCGUACCUGAAGAGAGGCUAAGGGUGAAAAGACAUAAAUAUACCAUUUGUGAAAUUAAAUAAUUUAAACUUUAAGAUGUUGGAAUUUUAAAUUAUUCUGAGCCUUGAGAGGAAUGUGGCUAUGCAGACUGAGUCACAUAACAGGGAGCAGCAACUCCUUUUUUUUUUCUAUAAAUUAUUAAGAUCAAACAGUGCCAGAAGUAAGACCCUCUUGGAUCACUGUUCCUCCUCAUGGAGUAAUAAUCUUCCCUGGAAUAUAGCAAUCUGUAAGCAAUCAAUUGCUACAGUAUAUGCACUAGUCUUGUCUGGAAAAUGUCCUAAUCCUGCUAAUAAUAUUUCUAUCUAGGUGAAACUAACUUCUCCACUUUAGAAUGCUAACACCAUUCAUGUGGAGUUAGUGUUUCCAGGUGGCUCUCCUCAAGUAUUGCCCUCAAAUAAACUCUAUACUAAAUCAUAUUUUCUGAAUCUCAUUAUUUAAAGAUGAUGUGCUCAUGC